GUUGUGCUCUAAAAAAUGGGUUACCAAAGAUUAGAAGUUUUAGAAAGAUUAGAAAAAAAUUCUAACCUACAUUUAACAUUUUUGACAUUGACAUUUUUCGCUUGAUCAAGAAAUUGAUUUGCUUUUAAAAAUUCCUAAAGAAAAAUGUCUCUUCAAACUACAAUUUAUAAUACGGUUUUUAAAAGAUCGUCUACUUUUGCAUUAGCAUUUGUAGCAUCAGCCUUUUUCUUUGAAAGAGGUUUUGACUUAGCAGCCCAAACGAUCUAUGACAAAAUUAAUGAAGGAAAACAGUGGAAGGAUAUUAAAGAUAAAUAUGCCCAGUAGAGAUCCAAAUUUUUUAUCACUGUUGUAGUUUGUAGUAAAGUAUUAAAUAAAUUCGUAUUUAUAAUAAACGUGUUGAAUUAAUAUGUCUUUAUUAUCAAAUUAAAAUAACAUUAACAGUA